rnacentral:lncRNA from 1 species
CCACUCCCAUUUUCAGGUAUUCUUGCUCGAUUUUAGCAGAGCUUGUCUACAUCGCGCAUCAGCCUGCCACAAUGAAUUCGCUUCCAUACAUUACCGAAGCAUGGAUGGCCCAGAUGCCCGGUGAGCAAGCUUCCUUCUUGUCAUUGCUUUUUAGUUUUCUCGCACAAACAUGUGCUUAUAAUUGCCACAAGCUUUCUAAAAUAUUUCUUGGUGAUGUAGCUCAUUCGAUCGUCACGCCACACUUCCACCAGCGUGCACUUGCCCCAUAGAAAAGGCAAGGCAGGUGAACCGCUUGUUCUGCAGGUGAUGGAAGCAAAUUCUUCAUCAACUUCACCUCAAGAAUCAGUGACGCCUCCCAAGAUUAGAAAUGAAAUGACUGGGCUGGAACAAACGUAUCCCGAACCCCAUUAUGGCCAUGGCAGGAGGACCAGGAGGUGGACUGCUUUGCUAGAUGCACCAAAUAUAGCCCUAGGACAGUGGCGAGGGUUCAUGCACAACACUUGCAAAACGCUUGCAUUCUGCAUAUGUAAGUGGGCAAUGCAUGAGCUAGGUGCAGCUAAAAUUCAUGAUAGGGCAAACACCGGCUACUUGAACAGGUUGGUGACCAUCUCCAAAAGGCCAGCAUAGCAAGCAAAUAUGUAUGUAAUAAAAGAUUUUGCCUGUGAGUAUGGGUCCAUCCGGAUCUGUUCAAAACUGCGCAAGGAAAUGUGCAGCACUGUAAACAGAAGCUCGGGCUAUAAUGCAAAUCCCACCAGCACCUGUCUCAUCAUGUUUGCAACAGCUGUGUUCACUAUGGGACUUCCCGUUUGGUUCUCUACUGCGGUUCGCCCUUUGUUUGAGAGUUCCUUGUGCUGAUGUUCCAACUGUUUGGCACAGUUCAAGGCCUGCAAUGCCUUUUAUGUUCUUGCCAGGCUUCCUUCUGGCACUGCAUGGAACAAUACCGCACCAUGUGGCAC